AAGUACAAAUGUUAAUGUGGUAGUUUUACUUUUACUUAAGUACAUUUUUUGAGUACUUUCUCCACCACUGUUGUGCAGGAAGGAGAUGAUCUGAGUGGAACAGAUAACCAGCCAGACUGCUGACAAUAUUUUUGCAUUAAAAACAAGAUGAAAAACACCAUGAAUAAACUUUAAUGUGCUUGUUAUUUAGCACAAAAAUUAAUUUCAACAGCCAACAGAGACCUGGAAACCAUCAAUAGCCAUCGAUAUUUAUGGCUACUGAUGGCUGAUUGGCUUUUGGAAGAGCAAAGGGGCAGGGGGAAAUUCAUGCAAUUAUUUUUCGAGCAGAGCAAAAAUGAUCUGCUCUGGGCAAUGUGUGGGUGAGCAUUUGGUUCGAUCCGUAAACGGACAUAGCCCCGAUGUCUUUUUUUUUCAUCUCAACGCCAUUAGAAAGAAAACAUCAUCACAGUUCUAGAAAUGGUGACAAAUACAGAAAAGUCAUUUAAUUUUUAGGCAGAAUUGGUUCAGACUUGGACUGGAUCAGAGUCAAAGCCUUUUUUCAGACGUCUGACCGGUUCCUGUCCCCAACCCGACCUGAAGCUGCCGCAUGUGCGUAAACCUUUGGGUGACUGUUAUCAGAGUUGUGUGCAGUCUCUGUAAAUGUCUGGCGGCUCCAGUGGACAGGCAGGCAGGGCCCACAUCAAGCCGAACAUGUAUGGAAAAAAAAUGUUAGCAUCUGGUCUUUUGUACGUGUAAGGGGAAACACUGUUUAUGACAUAGUGAUAUAAAUCAUGUGGCGUGAAUUCAGGCAAAGUUGGUAAUUUGAUCAACGCGUCAGCAGGUGGUGUGGGUCGUUUUUUUAAGCUUGCUGGUUCAAGCUUCUGUAAAUACUGCUGUCUAUGANGCCCAACCAGGUGUGUUACGUUCACAGACAAAUUAGCUUGACUUGAACAAAUAGAAGCCAUGAAUAAAGACAAAAAUAACUUUGGAAAACAACUUCAGCCGCUCAGUUCCUUACUCCAGAUUCUCACUUCCGAUGUACAUUAUGGCACUUUGAAUGAUUAAGUGACGUAGUUGCACAGGGUCAAUACUAGGGUAUCCCCUUUGUCAUGAAUGCUGUUUUAACCUAAACAAUAUAUGAGAUAAUAUAUAAGAUAAAAUAUAUAUUAU